UGCACAAUUUCCCCUUUAGGAGAAAAAUCUCAGUUAUUGCACUUUGUGUAAAUUCAAUAACUAAGAUAUUUCUCCUGAAGGGGAAAUGGUGCA
rnacentral:pre_miRNA from 1 species